rnacentral:rRNA from 1 species
CCUGGCUCAGGAUGAACGCUAGCGGCAGGCCUAAUACAUGCAAGUCGAACGGUAGAUCGGGUAGCAAUACUUGAUUGAGAGUGACGUAAGGGUGCGUAACACGUAUGCAAUCUACCCUCAACAGGAGUAUAGCUCGGGGAAACUCGGAUUAACACUUCAUAACAUUACGAUGUGGCAUCACAUUGUGAUUAAAAACUCCGGUGGUUGAGGAUGAGCAUGCGUCUGAUUAGUUAGUUGGAGGUGUAACGGACCCCCCAAGACGAUGAUCAGUAGGGGAACUGAGAGGUUGAUCCCCCACACUGGCACUGAGAUACGGGCCAGACUCCUACGGGAGGCAGCAGUAAGGAAUAUUGGUCAAUGGAGGAAACUCUGAACCAGCCAUCCCGCGUGCAGGAAGAAUGCCCUAUGGGUUGUAAACUGCUUUUAUCUGGGAAGAAAAGCCGGCAUUUAUGUUGGUCUGACGGUACCAGAGGAAUAAGCACCGGCUAACUCCGUG